GACGAACGCUGGCGGCGUGCUUAACACAUGCAAGUCGAACGAUGAUGCCCAGCUUGCUGGGUGGAUUAGUGGCGAACGGGUGAGUAACACGUGAGUAACCUGCCCCUGACUCUGGGAUAAGCGUUGGAAACGACGUCUAAUACUGGAUAUGACUGCCGGCCGCAUGAUCUGGUGGUGGAAAGAUUUUUUGGUUGGGGAUGGACUCGCGGCCUAUCAGCUUGUUGGUGAGGUAAUGGCUCACCAAGGCGACGACGGGUAGCCGGCCUGAGAGGGUGAGCGGCCACACUGGGACUGAGACACGGCCCAGACUCCUACGGGAGGCAGCAGUGGGGAAUAUUGCACGAUGGGCGAAAGCCUGAUGCAGCAACGCCGCGUGGGGGAUGACGGCCUUCGGGUUGUAAACCUCUUUUAGUAGGGAAGAAGCGAAAGUGACGGUACCUGCAGAAAAAGCACCGGCUAACUACGUGCCAGCCGCCGCGGUAA
rnacentral:rRNA from 1 species